GUCAGGAUGGCCGAGCGGUCUAAGGCGCAGCAAUCAGGUCGCAGUUCUUUGUGGGGCGUGGGUUUGAAACCCUUUUCUGACA